CCUCGAAUGCAUUACCCUAUUAAACUUUCUAAACUUAUAUCUUGAUAUGUAGGUAGGUGUUAUUCAGCCAGUUGCGUCUUGAAACUUUUUAUCCACAUCCCGCUAGAGUGAAUCUUUUUCUAAUAAAUAUGCAAGAGAAAUUCUUUGUGCACCACGGGCAGUGUAGAAAAUUCAACGUAGAGCACACUGUCUUGUUUGAUUGGUCCACGUAGUAAUCAUUUUCUAAUACAUAUUUAAUGCCUAC
rnacentral:lncRNA from 1 species